GGGUGUCGGUAUAGGAAGCAACGGUGAGCACAUCACCGGUGGUGGAGGUGCAGUGGCAUUCGGCUGAUUGUAGAGAACAGGACCGGACGCAUAACUGGUUGGAGUCAUAGUGGGUACUAGGGAUGGCAACGGCAUAGGUGGUAUCAUAGAUGAUGGCGGCGUUGGACCCGUUUGAUGAACAUACGGAGACGGUGGUGGUGGUGGCUGUGAUGGUGGUGGCUGCGUCGGUGGUCGAGGCUCCGCUUCUUGAUUAAAUGUAGGGUUGAGUAAUGUUGUCUCGCUAGUUCGUUGAUGAAGGGUGAACGCUUCCUCACACGCUUUUCCAAUGAUCUGCUACGUGUGCGCGAGCGACUCCGGCGACGGGGGCUGUAUCGUCUGCUUACUGGCGAACGGCUCAAUCGUCUUCUUGAACGUUCCGUACUGCGACUCCUUCGAUCACGAGAUCGGGUUCUCCGGCUUAACCAAGAUAAUCACUAAGCUAUAGUCUAGUAUACAUUUUUAUAUCGUAUAUAUGCAUUUGUACAAUACAGUAGAAAUAUAAAAUAUAAAAUACAAGGUUUGAAAAUUUGUAUCUAUCGCAAAUAACUAAUUUUAUAUAAUUACAACAUAUUUGUACACAAAAUAAUAUUUGUGAUUUUAUUGUGCACACAGUAUAAAAAAAUAAAUUUUUUUAACUGCA